rnacentral:rRNA from 1 species
GGCUACCGCUAUUGGAGUUCGAUUAAGCCAUGCGAGUCUAGAGGCCUAGCCUCGGCGUACCGCUCAGUAACACGUGGGUAACCUACCCUAUGCUGGGGAAUAAGCUCGGGAAACUGAGAAUAAUGCCCCAUAGUCCACUACGCCUGGAACGGUGAGUGGAUUAAAGCUCCGGCGGCACAGGAUGGGCCUGCGGCGUAUCAGGUUGUAGGGGGUGUAAUGUACCCUCUAGCCAUCCACGCGUACGGGUGUUGGGAGACAUUGCCCGGAGAUGGAUUCUGAGACACGAAUCCAGACCCUACGGGGUGCAGCAGGCGCGAAAACUUGGCAAUGCGAGAAAUCGUGACCAGGGAACUCCAAGUGGCAGGGGUAAGACCCUGUCUUUUUCCGACUCUAAAUAGGUCGGCGAAUAAGGGGUGGGUAAGGACGGUGCCAGCCGCCGCGGUAAUACCGGCGCCUCAAGUGGUAGUCGCUUUUAUUGGGCCUAAAACGUCCGUAGCCGGUCUGGUACAUUCGUGGGUAAAUCAACUCGCUCAACGAGUUGAAUUCUGCGAGGACGGCCAGACUUGGGACCGGGAGAGGUGUGGGGUACUCUCAGGGUAGGGGUAAAAUCCUGUCAUCCUGAGAGGACCACCUGUUGCGAAGGCUCCACACUAGAACGGAUCCGACGGUCAGGGACGAAGCCUAGGGGCACGAACCGGAUUAGAUACCCGGGUAGUCCUAGGUGUAAACGCUGUGGACUUGAUGUUGGGGACGCUCCGAGCGUUCUCAGUGUCGAAGCGAAGGUGAUAAGUCCACUGCCUGGGGAGUACGGUCGCAAGGCUGAAACUUAAAGGAGUUGGCGGGGGAGCACCGCAACCUGAGGAUUGUGCGGUUU